AUUUUUUAUUGAAAGCCUAAAACGUAACAACACAAUUGACUCAAUUAAAAAAUAAAUAAAGUAAAUAGAUAUUAAAAAACAAGUCCAACGAAAGUAUUGAGUGGAGAAAUAAAUGAUUUUAAGGUGAGGGGUGGAAGUAAAAUAAGGAAUCUUGUAAGUCACGCAUUAAAUGAAUUUCCAAGUGCUAAAGCCGUUGUGUGGACAGGAUUUGGACAAUCUGUUGGUAAAACUGUAACAUGUGCUGAAAU